AGACUCUCUCAGGCACUGGCAAUACUACAGUCAAGACUGUGGUUUCCCCAGAGUAAGGAUCUAAUACUGCACACUUGGUUGGGUUGACCCCUGUGAUUUCCCCAAAUGUGAGAAACUUAACUGCACAGUUUUUGAUAGCAUGAUGUCUGAAAAACAUUAUA